rnacentral:rRNA from 1 species
UACGUAGGGCGCGAGCGUUGUCCGGAAUCAUUGGGCGUAAAGAGCUCGUAGGCGGCCUGUCGCGUCUGCUGUGAAAUCCCGGGGCUUAACCCCGGGCGUGCAGUGGAUACGGGCUGGCUGGAGGCAGGCAGGGGAGAACGGAAUUCCCGGUGUAGCGGUGAAAUGCGCAGAUAUCAGGAGGAACACCGGUGGCGAAGGCGGGACUCUGGGCCGAUACUGACGCUGAGGAGCGAAAGCGUGGGGAGCAAACAGG